GCAUUCCAGUCCUGGAACAGUCNCAGCUGCUUCACCUCUUGGACUGACCUUCCCUUGACUCUCAAGGAACAGACAGAUUUUGUGUUCUUGCAGUCCUAGGCCUUCCUGUGACCUGAAUGAAAACCCUCCAGCCUCUUUCCCACUAAAGCCACGCUGCAGUUCUCCAUUUAUUUUUUCAGUUUGAAAUGACAGAAGAAUCUUGAAGGGGGUAGAAAUGAGGACAGCGCCACCUGCUGAUCAUUAAAGGCUGUGUUCCCCUGGGGCAGUGACCGGAGGGUUCUUUCCUUUUAAUCUGUAAGAACCCUCCACUAAUGAAGAAGGACCAUCUGCACCCCAUCACCUACCAAUUAAGAAGGAUGGGGAUCUGGAAGAAGGACACAAGGUCAAAAGAUGCUACACAUUUCUGAGGAAAGAAGAGGACAUUGGGAAGAUGUGCCUUUGAGAAUUCUGCA
rnacentral:lncRNA from 1 species